GGGAAAGUUGCAAAGCACUUUGAAGAGAGAGUUAAAGAGGACGUGAAACCGGUAGGAUGGAAACGGAUAGAGCCAGCGAAGUCGCUCGUAUUCAGCCAAAGGCUUGUGGCAUACGGCUCGUCGGCUUGCUAAUCGCACCGUCGGGCUGCUUUUGUCGCUUGCUGAGGUGCAUUUGCGGGCGUUUGCGCUGAGACUUGCGAGUCAGCUUCUGGACCCGGGCCUAGAGGCCGUCCUCUGGGCGGAACCUGGGCACGGCGACGGUUGUUUGGCCUGCUCGUACCACGGCUUGGCCUACGGACCGGCGCAUCGCCGUUGCUCUCUUGCGGUGGGAUCGCUUGCGAUCACUCGCUUGGGGGUAGCGGUUGUGUGUCGUGUUCCCACAGUCGGCUCUCGGUGUAAAAGCUGGUCACCUAUCCGACCCGUCUUGAAACACGGACCAAGGAGUUUAGCGUAUACGCGAGCCAUUGGGUGACAAACUCACAGGCACAAUGAAAGUGAAGGCCUAGCCACUAGGCUGACAUGCGAGUUGUGGGGCUUCGGCCUCGCGAUGCAGCAUGGUCCCGUUCCGGUCGCUUGCGACGGAGCGGAGACAGAGCGUAUGCGCUGAGACCCGAAAGAUGGUGAACUAUUCCUGAGCAGGAUGAAGCCAGAGGAAACUCUGGUGGAAGUCCGAAGCGAUUCUGACGUGCAAAUCGAUCGUCUGA
rnacentral:rRNA from 1 species